GCUGCAAAAAUAGAGUCAUAUUUUUGGAUAAGUCUAGUUUUCAUUUUUCAAAGAAAAGAAAAUUUACAAAAAUAUGUUUUCUUCUAAUGUAGGUUUUAAUAAAUAAACUAGUGAUUUUAGCAUUUUUGUUAGCUAUAUUUUAUUUUGGAUUGCUAUGUAACUUUUUUCUUAUAACUAGUUAAAUUUAGACAAAAAAAAUACUACAUAAUGAAAAGGUCAAAAAAAAACAAAAAAACAAAAAAACAAAAAAACAAAAGAUAAAAAUUUGCCUCACAAGAUAAGUCCCUCACGUUGGUUUUGAGAAAAUAAAUAAAAUUAGCCCUAGGCCCUCAAAAGUCUAGCGAAAUUGCCUUAAAAAAAAAAUUCCUCACGUUGAUUCCCCCUUAAAAACUCUCGACAAAAACCAAAUCCCCCUAACCACCAACUUAAACUCCCCCAUUCCUUUUUUCUCACGUCAUUUAAAAAAAAAAAAAACUAAUCCUAAUCCUAACUAAUCCCCUCACCUCUGUUCCUUUCCCCUUAAAAUUCUACACACAAAAUUAUCCAUAAAAUCUCACUCCCUCACAAUCUCUUCAAUAUACAUGACACUACACAUACACACAACUAUAUAAAAACAUACAACAACACCAAAACACACACAAAAAAUGCGCACAAAUACAAACAAUGAAAGACACAGAAAAGAAAGAGAAAAAAAAAGGCCAAAACACACAAAGUACCCAUUAAAAAAAAAUACCUAGAGCAAUUUAGGAGUUUCAAAAAGGUUUCGUAGGAGUUUGAGUUUUUCGUUCGCGGUUUCGAGUUUGUGGACCUGAAUAGCUUUGCUAGCUUUGGAAAUAUGUAGAUUAUACGUUGCUCUCCGUUGUUAACCGAAAAGAAUUUGAAGGUUACGUUCCUGAACUAGCACAGACAAACAAUUCAAAAAGGCUAUGUGUGUGGUUAUGCUCCUUAACCCCUCGAUCAAAUAGUUAUGUACUUUUCGUUUGUUGGUAUCUCAAUAUGUUGAAGUCAUCAUGUUUAUACCCAUCUGCUGCACUUAAUCAUGUUGGAUAAGCAGCUCAUUUUUUUGUUAGGUACUGGAAAGAAAAAGGAAGAAAUGGGCUUUGGGGUUACACAAAUUUAAAUAAGAAAGCAGAGAGUGGCUUAACAACAAGUGGACUUAAUAUCAUGAUUAAUCACUUUGCUUAAAUGUUAUUUAAGCCUAAUGAUUCUUGGAUGCUGAGUGUUUAAAUUAUUUGGUUAGUGCUUCUUCAUCCUAUAUUUAGCCAUGAAUCAGUUGAUAAAAUUAAUUAUACUUUGGUCAUGUGUUCGGUUACGCUCCUUGGCUAAGCAUGAAUUAAUAAUUCCAACGAGUCUUGUGUGAGGUUACUCUCCUUGGCUCCACGUUAACCCAAACAAUUGUGAGAAGAACGAGAUGAGAUACAAAUUUAUUUCAAAUCCCGUUGUCACAUAAAAAAUAAAAUAAAAUAAAAAGUAGUGGAAAGAACACGUGUGAGAGAGAGAGGCGGGUUGUGAAUUAAUUCAAAAUCCGUUGCAAAAAGAGAAUGAAUUAAAAAAAAAAAAAAAAAAAAAGCAAAUUAGGCAAGCAUAGGCAAAUAAACACAAUGUUGUCUAAAAAUAAAUUUUAGCCAAAUAUAAGUCGAUAAAAGCGACCGUGCUAGAAUCACAAGGCUCGGGAGUGCCUCAUACUUUCCCUCCGGCAGACCAAAAAUAAAAAGUCAUUUCCGUUUGAAUAGGGAUUCAUUAAGAUAACUUGGAAUACCAAAACUCAAUUCCAAGUGGCGACUCUUAAU